rnacentral:rRNA from 1 species
GAGUACUGUAGAGGGGUAGAAUUUCAGGUGUAGCGGUGAAAUGCGUAGAGAUCUGCCGGAAUACCGGUGGCGAAGGCGGCCCCCUGGACAGAUACUGACACUCAGAUGCGAAAGCGUGGGGAGCAAACAGGAUUAGAUACCCUGGUAGUCCACGCCGUAAACGAUGUCUACUUGGAGGUUGUGGCCUUGAGCCGUGGCUUUCG